GUUGUAUGGUUAAGUGACUAAGCGUACACGGUGGAUGCCUGGGCAGUCAGAGGCGAUGAAGGACGUACUAACUUGCGAUAAGCGCAGAUAAGGCAGUAAGAGCCGUUUGAGUCUGCGAUUUCCGAAUGGGGAAACCCAACUGCAUAAGCAGUUACUGUUAACUGAAUACAUAGGUUAACAGAGCAAACCGGGGGAACUGAAACAUCUAAGUACCCCGAGGAGAAGAAAUCAACCGAGAUUCCGGUAGUAGCGGCGAGCGAACCUGGAUUAGCCCUUAAGCACUCGGUGAAGUAGGUGAACAAGCUGGAAAGCUUGGCGAUACAGGGUGAUAGCCCCGUAACCGACGCUUCAUCGAGCGUGAAAUCGAGUAGGGCGGGACACGUGAUAUCCUGUCUGAAUAUGGGGGGACCAUCCUCCAAGGCUAAA
rnacentral:rRNA from 1 species